rnacentral:lncRNA from 10 species
CAGGAACAGGAGCUGCAGGAGGGCGGUUCUGUCCUUCCGAGAAACAAGGCGUCCCCACCACGGCUGUGAGCCAGUGCCUGCCGCCCGACAGCCACAGCACUGUGGCACUGAGGACCAGCUUUCCCUGAAGUCCGCCUGCAUCAAACAGGUCUACCCCAUGCCUAGGCAAGACCUUCCUCUUUCUCACUUCCUUUUGAAAGUCCACACUUCUCAGGGAGCGGGGAGGGUACCCUCCCGACUUCCCGUUUGCCCCUGCCUGCCUGAUUGGAUCUUUCUCCACUGCUGUGGCUGGACAAGCCUCUGGGACGACUUCAGCAGCCUCAGGAGAGGACUUCCAGAAUCUGAUCGCCAGGGGUCAGUAUCUCAAGCAGACAGUCACGACAGCAGACCAACUCCACCCUAAGAAAGCACAGUUGUCAGUCACCCCUCAAACAGAGGUAGCACCCCAGUGUCCUCACCAAUGCAAGGGGCCACAGCCUCUGGGAAAUCUGCUUCUUGCUUCUCUGGCCGAGGACUGGGGCAUACAGGACCUCACUUUCUGACAAGUGAGUGUUGAAGCCCAGGCCAGGGGGAAGUGUGUUUUUGAACUGUCAUGUCAGAGCACCUUCCGGAGCUACAGCUGGAAAGGCUGCUUGCGGAAGUGCCAGGACGACCAAACCCCGCUGCUCUUCAGACACCUUGUGGCUGCCCCAACCAGAACCUUGGAUGCUCCUGGGGCCACGCCCCCUAGCUCAGACCCGCACACAAGAUACCACCAAGACUCAUACACACUGCCAGUGGGGAGCUACGACAGAUUGGCCAAAGACUCAGACCUUCCUCCCACUCUAACCACCGUCACCCUGGAGACCCACAGGAAGAGCUGUGAGCCCUGAAGGCAAUGCUUGCACCAUCCUUCCCCCACCUGGGCCAGGACUGCCACUGUCAGCUGCUGCUCCAGCCUCACGCUGAGCAUAGGGGACAUGGCCCAGAUGCAGCCACCACCCACUUGAUAUGGUUCCUGCCUGCCACGUGCCAUACCACUGCGGUCCAUGUUGGACAGGUGCAAUAUGAGGUCUAAGUCCCUCUGGCUCCAUUCUAGCCAGCACCAUGGCACCAACCUAACCACAGCCUGUGUGACAGUCCAGGAGGUCAACCAGUGCCACACCCUCUCCAUGCGGAGUUCAGCCUCCUCAGGUGGGGCUUCCUACUGAGAACUGCUCUACAUUUGGACUUCUGACUCCCCUCCCUGGCACUUGCUGGAGAGCACAGGAGGUGGGCUCCAGGGAGGAGACACCAUGUCUUGCUGUUCAGCUGGUACCUAGCGUGUGCUGGUGCAUAGCAAGUGCCCAAUCUAGAGAAUGAAUGAAUGCCGUGGUACACAACCACUCAUCUUUCCCAUAACUACAUUCAGUAGCUGUCCACUAGUUCCUCCCAUAAGUGAGGGACAGGACCAGCACCUAAGAUCUUUGGUUGCUUCUCUGUUGUACCCUGAAGACCCUCUCUCCUCCAAAAGGGAAAUCCACCCAGCUCUGUGUCCCAGCAGACUCCCCUGUAUGGACCACCCCGUCAGGCUCCCCUGUAUGGACCACCCCAUCAGGAUCCCCUGUAUGGACCACCCCGUCAGGUCCCCUGUAUGGACCACCCCGUCAGGCUCCCCGGCCCUCUGGCUGCCAAAGCCAUGAGAUCAGAGGGAGGAAGGAGUGAGGUCUAGGUUGAGGAUUCUCCCAGCUCCCUCUCUGCAGGCUACACACUGCCCGCCCCCUCCAACAGAGGCCACAGUCCCUGUCAGGCUGUCCCUAGUUUUGGCUCUGCCACUUGACAUUUUAAACCUCAAGGUGCUAAUGCCCAGGGCUCUGCACUAUCCCUUACGGUUUUCCUAUCUCCUACCCAAAUCUCCCCAUCAUUAAACUCCUCGACUUGCCUGGUACCCGCUGGGCCCCUGACGGAGCUGAUCCCAAAGUCUGAAGCUUGUCAAGAGGCAGAAGCACAGCCUGGGGAGGGAAUCCACAGUUGUCCCUGCUCAGCUUCCAGCCCGCAGAGGAUGGACGCCUUCUCCGGAUGGCUUCUCUUGGUUUUGGGAGCAGGGCGGCAAAGUCUUUUCAUUUCCCAAUUUUUAAAUUACUUUUCUGAAUAGUUAACACAUUCAGAUCGCUCAAAGGUCAAAAAAUACAGAAGAGUAGCUGCACUGGCGUCUCCUGCACCUCCGUCAGUGCAGGGUUGACGUGCCGUGCUGUCCCUCACAGGAGGACCUUGUCCCCUCCAGGCAGCUUCAGACCACGGCUCAGCACCAAACCCAGCCGCGGCCUGGCUCCCUGCAGUUCCCACUUGCUGUGCUUACUUCUAAGUGAGAGGUCCCACCUGCAACUGGGGAAGCUCUGCCUCGAUAAAGCCUCCAAGAGCCUGUGCCCUGGCUCACACCAGGGUGACCGGGAAACGCAGACAGCACUUAUGCCAAGCAACAGUUUCUUACACUCUGGGACCUCCAGGAAGUAGCAUCUGCCAAAUGCAAGGAUAACAUUUUCCUCUUCAUGCAGCAAGGUCUCUUCAGAUUAAACAAUGAUAAUAACCAAAAAACCAAAGCUUACCUUGGUUGGCAGUUUGCAAAUGUUUUGUCCUGUGUGAUCUAAUAAUGCACUAAAAUACGCUGUCAUAAAGCAAAAUCUUCAUAUGCAAACAAUACAUUAGCAGCUUGGCUAUUUAAUACUUUGCCGCAUAAGGCUCUCUACUGAGCGCACAAGUAAACAGAAGUCUGUCCCUUUUAGGAG